GGCCACGCCGGCGUGAUCAUGAUAUUUUACGACAGUACUGAGUAUUUAUUUUGGGUCUUGUUGCAAGAGGUAGUGUUUGUUUAUAUUUAGGGCCGGUGAGAGUGAAUUUCUGGCGUCGAAAACUUUGAAAUGAGGUGCGUUGGUGCACCGGAUUGUAUUAGCAAUUCGGGGAGAGAGAGAGAGCAGGCUGUUUCUACCGUAGAUUGGGAGGGCAACAGGUUCACAAAACUGUGGGAAUGACAGCUGGUUACCAGCUGUACAUUUCAAGUGUUUGGGCUUCACUUUGACUGUUCACAAUACGAGAUGAAUAAAGCUGAUGGAAGGAAGCUGUUAUAAAAUGUAGUGCAAUUUCUUCGAAAGUCAACGUUCCAAAUACGCGCACUUCUAAUGGGAAAUAACCAAAUAGUAAGGACCGAAGCAGGCAGUAACGAAGCCACUGGAGUGCUACUGAUGAAACAUACUAAAUGCAAAAUAAGACAUUCAAUAGAACUGAAGAUGUUAUUGUAAACUUGCGGUUACAAAAAACUUAAAGUAGAACCUCUGUUCCUCGCUCCUGUAUCCACUAAAGAACCACACAGCAUGCAAAGGAGGACAUAACAAUGUGAACUAGCAAUUUCCAGUCCAAACACUCGCCUGAUGUUGGCUGAAUGAUUAACAGCUAAAAUAUUGUGUGAUGGCGCGGCGUCAAAGCUUAAUGUUAUGGAACUGAUGGGAGUGCCUGGUAGACUAAAUAUGCAUAGAGCUGUAAUCUACAUAUACCGAAGGAGACUUUCUGAACAAAAAAAUCAGUGAUGGAAGCCACCAAAGAAGCAAGAAUAAGUAGUGAGAAAAAGAGAAGAGAGGAAGAACAAGAGAUGAAACAAGAUGAAUAUGGACCUGGGCUGUAUUAGUGCUAUGCAGGUUUAACAGAAAAAGCAAGUUUUAACUUUAACUUGAAUUUCCCAAAAGUUAAAUUAUAAUUAUGUUCUGGUACACUUUGUCUUUAAAAACUAUUAGAAACAGAGGCCUGGAAUUUUGAAAUACUGUCUUAAAACAUGCUUAAUCAAAAAGUAGACUACUCUUGUGUCUUAACUUGGAAAA